rnacentral:rRNA from 1 species
CGGAGGGUGCAAGCGUUGUCCGGAUUUAUUGGGUUUAAAGGGUGCGUAGGUGGCCCGUUAAGUCCGGGGUGAAGCCACUGCUCAACAGUGGAACUGCCCUGGAUACUGGCGGGCUUGAGUCCAGACGAGGUUGGCGGAAUGGAUGGUGUAGCGGUGAAAUGCAUAGAUACCAUCCAGAACCCCGAUUGCGUAGGCAGCUGACUAGGCUGGUACUGACACUGAGGCACGAAAGCGUGGGGAGCGAACAGGAUU